CAGUAGCCGCGGUAAUACGUAGGGUGCAAGCGUUAAUCGGAAUUACUGGGCGUAAAGCGUGCGCAGGCGGUUAUAUAAGUCAGAUGUGAAAUCCCCGGGCUCAACCUGGGAACUGCAUUUGAGACUGUAUGGCUAGAGUGUGUCAGAGGGGGGUAGAACUCCACGUGUAGCAGUGAAAUGCGCAGAUAUGUGGAGGAAUACCGAUGGCGAAGGCAGCCCCCUGGGAUAACACUGACGCUCAUGCACGAAAGCGUGGGGAGCAAACAGGAUUAGAUACCCGUGUAGUCCCUGUCUCUUAUAC
rnacentral:rRNA from 1 species